rnacentral:rRNA from 1 species
ACUUNCAUGGNCGCAGUCUGAGGAGCAACGCCGCGUGAGUGAAGAAGGUUUUCGGAUCGUAAAGCUCUGUUGUUGGUGAAGAAGGAUAGAGGUAGUAACUGGCCUUUAUUUGACGGUAAUCAACCAGAAAGUCACGGCUAACUACGUGCCAGCAGCCGCGGUAAUACA